rnacentral:rRNA from 1 species
CUACGGGUCGCUCCAGUGAGGAAUAUUGCACAAUGGGGGAAACCCUGAUGCAGCAACGCCGCGUGGAGGAUGACGCAUUUCGGUGUGUAAACUCCUUUUAUCAGAGAAGAUAAUGACGGUAUCUGAUGAAUAAGCUCCGGCUAACUCCGUGCCAGCAGCCGCGGUAAUACAGGAGGGAGCAAGCGUUACUCGGAAUCACUGGGCGUAAAGGACGCGUAGGCCGGGUGGUCAGUCAGGUGUGAAAUCCAACGGCUUAGCCGUUGAACUGCACUUGAAACUACCAACCUAGAGUAUGGAAGGGGCAGAUGGAAUUAGUGGUGUAGGGGUAAAAUCCGUAGAUAUCACUAGGAAUACCGAAAGCGAAAGCGAUCUGCUGGGACAUUACUGACGCUGAGGCGUGAAAGCGUGGGGAGCAAACAGGAUUAGAUACCCCAGUAGUC